GGGUGCCUCAGAACUUCGAAGAAGACUUCCUUAGGUAGUUCAAUCGGAGCCAGUGUAGCCAGCUUGGAGAGAAGGUCGGCCCUGGUAUUUUCAGCUCUUAGGAUCUGCUUGAUGUCGAAGCUGCCGAAGGUAGGGAUGAUCUCCUUUACCUUUUUGAGAUACUUGGCCAUACUGUCCUCCCGAGCUUCAUAAUUUUUGUUGACCUGUUCCACCACUAAUUGAGAG
rnacentral:lncRNA from 1 species